rnacentral:sRNA from 1 species
CGGUGACCGCCGCCUAAUCGCCGGUGACGGCGAGCCGGGGAACCAUGUUCUUGGGGUGCAUCCGCGUGAGCGGUAGGGAUCUUCCGUCCCGAACCCGUCAGCUAACCCGGUCGGCGGCUGACGGAAGGACAU